CUUCACAAAAAAAACCAAAUAACUGCAUACAUUUUCUGUAUAUUAUGACAAUGGGAACUGUGUUUGAAAACCAAGAGAAACUUUUACCUAUUAAAAGAGAAAGACUGCCACCUGGAGGAUGAAUUGUAGACUUUCAGGUAUUAAGUGCUCAUUCACUAGGAUAUCUUCUGUAUUAACCAAAGUCAGAAACAUGGUAUUGCAAAACUAGAUUUUUGGUCUUCUCUUUAAUGAGUGCGAUGUUGUGUUUAACAUUGUCAAUGUCUAU